UUCUCCCCGACCCUUCAAGUUGUGGCCUCACCCCACUCCCGAGUUGUGAUCUCCCUUAUCCCCGACCUCUAAGUUAGGGCUGCUACAAUCUUUUAUUUUAAAUGCUCCUCCCUCGCUGCUUUUCUCCUGAGCCUUCGCUCACAGCAAGGGCUCAAGAGAGGGAAGUGGUGAGUGGGAACAUUUUAAAACAAAAACAUGGAUUGUAGCAGCUCCAGCUCGGCGCUUCUGCACCAUCAGGACUCGCAAUUCCACAACAUCGGAGCUCCGACUUCGGGUCGUGUCUGGAGUGGCCGGGGAGCGGGGAGAGGCCACAACUUGGAGAGUUGGUGAGCGGAAAGGCUGCAACUUGGAGAUUUGGAGAGAGAGGGAGGAUCAGGGAGCAGGAGGUUCAGCAAGCAGGAUCGGGGCGAGCAGGAGGAAUCAACGUUUCACUUAAAAUCGUGAUUUUCAAGAACAUGACCACAAUUUUGUGAGGACUUACUGAACAAGAACUCGGCUGAAGCGGCCUCCAGUUGUGGAGAUCAAGAUACCGCUCUAGAGGGAGCAUUUGGACUACGCGCUCUUACCAGAAGAGGAACGGGAUAAUAACAUUUUACCUCCUUGUAAAUUCCUGCUCAAAUACUGAAAUGUAUUAAAACUCUCGCGUUUGAAAUAAA